AUGACAAAUUUAAGCUGUGUUAGGCAGAGUUCAGGGAAGAGAGGCAGGGACAUGCACAGGGAAGACUCAAUCUCAGAUGGAGAGCCGGGAAAGACCUCGUGGGAAGGCAGUGUCGUCCAGGAUCUACCGAGGCGCCUUCCAGGCCACCGGAAAGGACAGGUGCUCCCGGGAGGUACUGAGGUGUCCAGGAACAGCCCCAAGGACUACACAAGCCAGCGAUGGGCCUCGCCGCGCACCCAUCCACAGCCCUCUGAACCCGAGGUCCCAGAUCCCUGCAGAGAUCUCACCUGGAGCGUGCAGGCGCACAGGGCGCACUGGUCCUCGGCACCCUCGACUGUCUCCUGCUUGCUGUCGUUCCAGGCCUGGGGCCCCGCCUUUUUUGCGACCUCCGUUGUGCUGCUGCACCCGACGAGCAGGGUUGACGGUGAACCCCACGUACACGCGCCCCCGAUGCCGAGGGUUCAGGCAAUAGAGCAGGUAGACGCCGAAGAACCGCCCCGGCCUCGCCGCGCACCCCGCGGGGCCCAUCCAGACUUUAUAGGUUACGGGCCCAGAGCUGGAAUUGAUCUCCGUGAACUCGGAUCCCAGGAAUGACUAAGUUGCUAGGGCAGCAAGAUGCUUGUUUCGGGAAAAUUGAUCGCGGGGGGCAGUCUACAAAACCUCAAUAACGCCAAGUUCGUACAUUCUCACCCGGAGGGAGGCAGGUCCCAAACCUGGCCGCCAAACCCCUGCCACAUGCAGACUAUGAGCCCCAACCAAUUAGGAUACGCUCUCUCAGAGUCCGUCCUCCCGCUGACUCUGAUUGGCUAAUACUGCUAAACCGGCUUUUGAGAGAACUUGUACUGGAAUGAGGGCGGAAGUGCAGCAUCUCGGACACCCUCGUAAGGGCGGAAGUAAAUGCCCUAGCGGAAGUGGUCUGGUGGAAAGUCUCGUGGCUGUUCUGGAGUUUGUCUUCACUGCGCUGCUGUUCCCUCUGGGCUGGUGUGCUGAAACUCAGUUUGUCCUAAAACGACUCUCAAAAAUAUGCAGGGCGUGUGGCGCGCAACUAUAUUCCUAACAUUUGGGAGGCUAAGGAAGGAUCGCUGCAAGUUUGAGGCCAGCAUGGGUUACAUAGUGAGUUCCAGGGCAACCUGAACUACAUAGCGAAACCCUGUCUCAAAAAGCAAAAACAAAAAGUAGUGUGGUGAAGAACAGAUAAAGAUUUGGAAGAUCUGCCUUGGAGCUGACAGAUUUAGGGCUUUAUGAAAAAGCAAAGACGGGCUGGGGGCUUGCACAGAUAGAUGGGGGUUUGCAGAGCUGAAAGAGGAAACCCUGGUCAAGUCGUGUACUUAGUGAUCAGUAUAUCAGGACCGGCUCUGGGAGGUUCGGAGACAGCCAUCAUCACAUAGUGAAACGGUGACUCUCCCUUGAGGUAGGCAGCUGAGUUCCUAACGUGGUGAUUCAUGGGGUGAUCUGAAAUGCUCUGUUUUUCUUUGGCUUAGGACAGUGACUGAAGACUCCUAGGCAUUGCUCCGAGGAGUCUGGGACUGAGCCUUGUAAAUCUGGCAAUUGGACGUCCCUGCAAAUCCUAAAAGGAGUCCUCUUCUCCUUGUCCUCCUUCUCCCUCCUUCUUCAUUCUUUCUUUGUCUUCUUCAUCAUUGUUGUGGUCAUCAUCUCUGUCUCCUUUUCCUUUUUUUUUUUUUUUUUUUUUUGAGACAGUCUCAGUUGCUAAGUUUCUGAGGUUGGGCUCAAAUCUGUGGUCCUCCUGCCCCAGCUUCCCCAAGUGUUUGGAUUACAGGCUUCUGCUACUAUCAGGCAGUACAGCAGUUUGCUCUUAUGUCGGAGUUCUUAGUCUUAAAGGAAGAUAGGAUAGGUAAGUUUAGGGCUAAUAAAGUUUAUAUUACAGGGACUCCUUAAAUGGUUGACAUACCUUUGUAUAGAGCUGAGCAGGGAUCUGACCCAAAAUUUGAAGGUAAUGAGGAAGACAUACAAAUGAAGGCAGAGAUGCCAGGUUUCAUCCUGCUGUUACCCAAUGGGCAUCUACAAGCUCAAUGUCUAGAUCCCUGUUACAAAUGAAUAAAGGUGUACAGCAUUAUAGCAGUGAGGCAGGAGAUUAGAGUGUGGCAGCUGGCUAGGCAAGUGAGUGUAAUCUGUCAAUCACGGAGAUCCAGGCGGGGAUUGCACCUCUGGAACCAAUCAGAAAGUGAUAUCUUCAAAUCUUCUAGAGAACUCAAGCAGGUUUUUGAUAGGAUGGCCUACACCGACCCUCAGCCUGAGGAGUGGGAGAUACCAGAGAUGGUCACCAGGAGGCUCCUGGCCACUGUGUUCUCUCCUUCACAGUGAUCCACUCAUACCAGAGCGUAUUUCUUUUCCUACCUUUAAUAAAUGUAAAACCUCACUAUAUUUUGCACUUGGUUUUCUGUUUUGUUUUGUUUUUUGAGAUAAGGUCUCACCGUGUAGUUCAGGCUGGCCUUAAACUCACUGGAUAACGCAGGCUGGCCUUGAACGUGCUGCAAUCCUCCUGCCUGAGCUUCUUGAGUGCUGGGAUUAUUGGGGUACACCACCACACCUGGCUUCGUUACCGUUUUAAAUCACCACUGGAUAUUUUUUUACUAUGCUAAUGAAGUAAGGUAAAAAGAGGUUAUCUUAGGGACUAUUCUGCACAUGUGUUUGUCCAUGUCGCUUAGAAUUACCCCUUAUUAGAAAAUUUCCUAAUUUCCCCUGGAACAGGACCCUCUGUAGCCCUCAGCUGCCAGCGGAGGGGGAGGCUGCAGCCCGCCAUCUUCUCGGCACAGUGGGCAUCAAAGCGCUCGCUCUGGGCCGCCGUGAAGGUGCUUUUCCAGUUCCCCACGAUGCCUGGGACAGAAGGAAAGAGGCUUGAGUCCAGGCCACACAGGAGGCCCUGGUGGCUCUUCCUCCCUCCGCUCCCCACGCCCCCCUUGGCCAGGCACCCACCUUUCCUCAUGAAGGGGGAGACUGCGUGGUCCAUGACCUCAGGGAGGAGGGUGGUGUAGUUGGUCAUGGGGUUCUUCUUCAUCUCCUUGAAGGAUGUGCGCUGGACGAUGAGCUCUUUGGUCUCCUCAGGCAGGGAGCGCCCCACGAACUCCAGGAUCUUCUGAAGCUCCCUUUUGGGGUCCUGGAGAAGGCUUACAGUUCUGGGUAUACCAUCUUCAGUGGGGUUUGGGCUGUUCAUAGGGCCAGCAGAAGAGUGUCCCUGUGUGACUUCACA
ensembl:lincRNA